ACGAGUGGCGGACGGGUGAGUAAUGUCUGGGAAACUGCCUGAUGGAGGGGGAUAACUACUGGAAACGGUAGCUAAUACCGCAUAACGUCGCGAGACCAAAGAGGGGGACCUUCGGGCCUCUUGCCAUCGGAUGUGCCCAGAUGGGAUUAGUUAGUUGGUGAGGUAACGGCUCACCAAGACCGCGAUCGGUAGCCGGACUGAGAGGUUGAACGGCCACAUUGGGACUGAGACACGGCCCAGACUCCUACGGGAGGCAGCAUG
rnacentral:rRNA from 1 species